rnacentral:rRNA from 1 species
CCUACGGGCGGCAGCAGUGGGGAAUAUUGGACAAUGGGGGGAACCCUGAUCCAGCGACGCCGCGUGAGUGAAGAAGUAUUUCGGUAUGUAAAGCUCUAUCAGCAGGGAAGAAAGAAAUGACGGUACCUGACUAAGAAGCCCCGGCUAACUACGUGCCAGCAGCCGCGGUAAUACGUAGGGGGCAAGCGUUAUCCGGAUUUACUGGGUGUAAAGGGAGCGUAGACGGUUACGCAAGUCUGGAGUGAAAGGCGGGGGCCCAACCCCCGGACUGCUUUGGAAACUGUAUAACUGGAGUACAGGAGAGGUAAGUGGAAUUCCUAGUGUAGCGGUGAAAUGCGUAGAUAUUAGGAGGAACACCAGUGGCGAAGGCGGCUUACUGGACUGUAACUGACGUUGAGGCUCGAAAGCGUGGGGAGCAAACAGGAUUAGAUACCCCUGUAGUC